GGUGAACGCUGGCGGCAGGCCUAACACAUGCAAGUCGAACGGCAGCACAAGAGAGCUUGCUCUCUGGGUGGCGAGUGGCGGACGGGUGAGGAAUGCAUCGGAAUCUGCCCAUUUGUGGGGGAUAACCUCGGGAAACCGGGACUAAUACCGCAUACGACCUACGGGUGAAAGCAGGGGAUCUUCGGACCUUGCGCGGAUGGAUGAGCCUAUGCCGGAUUAGCUAGUUGGAGGGGUAAAGGCCCACCAAGGCGACGAUCCGUAGCUGGUCUGAGAGGAUGAUCAGCCACACUGGGACUGAGACACGGCCCAG
rnacentral:rRNA from 1 species